GGCCCUGUACUGGAUAAGGUGGCCUUCGGCUAAAUCCCCAUUCCUGCCAUUCGCUCUUGCCCGGCUUCUCCCCACGCUCCCAUGGCCGCCGUUUACCCCACCACGGCCGUCCUCCCCACGCGCCACUCCCCUCCUUCCUUCCUCCGGCCGCCGUCCCUGUCGUGGUCCGCCUCCAUCACCCAGCACCGCAUCCCCUUCUCACCGCGCCUCGCUCUCUCGCCGCCACCGGCGGCCAAUCGGCGGUCAUUCGUGGUCCGAGCGGCGUGGACGCGGCGGUCGCGCGGCGAGUUGGACAAGAGCCCGAACCGCAAGUCGUGGAAGCAGCGCACGGACAUGUACAUGCGCCCGUUCCUGCUCAACGUCUUCUUCUCCAAGCGCUUCGUGCACGCCAAGGUCAUGCACCGGGGCACCAGCAAGGUCAUCGCCGUCGCCACCACCAACGCCAAGGACCUCAGGACCACCCUGCCGUCCCUCAUCGACGACAACGCCUGCCGGACCAUCGGUCGCCUCAUAGCCGAGAGGUCCAUGGACGCCGACGUCUUCGCCAUGGCGUACGAGCCCAAGAAGAACGAGAGGAUCGAGGGGAAGCUCGGGAUUGUCAUCGACACCAUUAAGGAGUAUGGCAUCAUCUUUGCAUAGGCAAGUUCCAGUGUAGGAGCAGAAACAGUUUUUAUGUUGUAUUUCUGUAGUUUGAUUGAUUCAUGUAGCUGUUCUUGUUCAGCUUAUCUUAUAUUGAUGGUGAUGAUGAUCUAGUAAUAGCUUCUUCUGCUGUGCUGUUUGUCUUUUCAUAUUGGUGUUGCAAUGCUAUUUUACUUGUAAAAUUUCAUAGGAUAUCCUUGGUUAGAUUGUCCAGUGGGUAAUAUUAUAGGGAAAAUGUUCAGUUGAUAUAACACUAGUAAAGCCCAGUUGACUAAAUGCAAAUGUUGCUGGAGCUAUCCAAUUUUGUCAAGUCUAAUGUGGAUAUGAGCAGCUAAUAACAUUAACCAAAACUAUAGCGAGCAAGUUAUGGAUCUGAACUGUUUAGGAGUAACGGUUAAAUAUCAGAAAGUGCAUUAAGCCUGAGUACACGUUUUUACCAUGCUAUUGUUGUUACUCAUAUUAUAUACAAGUAUAAGGAACAUGUGGAUUUGCAAGGAAAUUAGAGAUGCACACAAGUAAUGGCUUAGUAAGGUGUUUGUCUUUCAACUUUUGUUAGUUAUCAGAAAAUUGGUGAAUGAUUUCCAGACAUUGUUGUUUAUGGUCUUCAAAUAAUAACUGAAUGAUCCUGAUGCUCUAUAAAUGUUAACUGAAUGAUUCAGGCGUUGAGAGUUUAACUGCAUGGUAAUUAUGUUCAUCUGUUGGUUAGCUGAAGUGUUGUCUCUUGUGUUCAUCAAAAUUAUGUGUGUGGAACUGGAAGAAUGCUUUUGUAUGGAACAAUACGAAAUAUUCGAAGGCUGAUAAGGCGCUCCUGUCUAUAUGAAACAAAUGUGAUUACAAUUAUCUACGAGUACCAACCAAGUCAUCACCCGUGCUGAUCCUUGAAGAAAUUCGACUUGUUUCUCCACAAGUUGCAUCAGUUGUGCACAGACACCAUCCUGAUAUGGAGCUUCCCUUCACGAAUGCUCAGAUGAAAGUACCUUACUCCUCGUGUUUAUCUUUUUCAUGGGAAAAAUGGAUCAAUGAUGUAAUUUAACGGAACGAAACUAGUCACUGCCGAGGUCAUUCGGGCAUAUGUGAGGUAUAUUGUGCUCAUAUGUUCAUAUGCUCCUCCUAGGCAUAAUUGUGCUGUCCGGCUAUGCAUCUUAAGCCUUAAGGGCAUUAAUUAUGCCUACCACAGAAUGACUGACCAUAGAUUCAUGUUCUAGAGAGAAAUGAGUUUUUGCUGCUGUGCAGUAUUUUGAAA